rnacentral:misc_RNA from 1 species
UGAAAUCCGCAGCCCGACUUGAACGGAGCUCAUUUUUUGUGGCUGGAAAAGCAAAGGCAAAAAUAGCGGGAGUGGAAGGCGGAAAAGCUG